rnacentral:misc_RNA from 1 species
AACGCACAUUGCGCCCCUUGGUAUUCCGGGGGGCACGUCUGUUCGAGCGUCAGUGUAAAACCUCCGGCAGCGAUUUUUUCCUCGCGGAAAAAUUGCGCGCCGGGUCUUUGGCGGCGGCGUCGCGCCUCCCUCCCCUCGCGGGAGUGGGGGGUCCCCGCGCCCCCGCUUAAAUCCGCGAAGUUUGCGGGCCCGCACCACGCGACCACCACGUAGUAAAAAAAAUUUCAUCUCGCGGAGGGUUUCGCGGCGGAAGGGCGCCCGCCUGAACACGCUUUCUGACGUUUGACCUCGGAUCAGACGAGGAUACCCGCUGAACUUAA